CAUUCCUUUAUUUACAGCAAAACAAAGACCAACAUAUCCACACACCAAACUGUUUGAUUCACAUCACACCCAAAUACAAACGGUUUAAAAAAGAGGAUGCUUUCAAAAUUUCAAGGUAACAAAAAGAGGUGCAAAUGUAUAUAUUACUAAACUAGAGAAGCCUCCUCCUGAAGGUUCUGGUAGUUGAUUGAUAAGUACGAACGAGAAGACCGACACCAAUCCCAAGACAAAC